GAUGAAGAACGUAGCGAAAUGCGAUAAGUAAUGUGAAUUGCAGAAUUCAGUGAAUCAUCGAAUCUUUGAACGCACAUUGCGCCCGCCAGUAUUCUGGCGGGCAUGCCUGUUCGAGCGUCAUUUCAACCCUCAAGCCCCCGGGCUUGGUGUUGGGGAUCGGCGUGCCCUCGCGGCGCGCCGUCCCCUAAAUCUAGUGGCGGUCUCGCUGUAGCUUCCUCUGCGUAGUAGCAACACUCGCACUGGAUCGCAGCGCGGCCACGCCGUUAAACCCCCCACUUCUGAAAGUUUGACCUCGGAUCAGGUAGGAAUACCCGCUGAACUUAAGCAUAUCAAUAAGCGGAGG
rnacentral:misc_RNA from 1 species